rnacentral:rRNA from 1 species
UACAGGGGGGGCAAGCGUUGUUCGGAAUUACUGGGCGUAAAGGGUUCGUAGGUGGCCAACUAAGUCAGACGUGAAAUCCCUCGGCUUAACCGGGGAACUGCGUCUGAUACUGGAUGGCUUGAGUUCGGGAGAGGGAUGCGGAAUUCCAGGUGUAGCGGUGAAAUGCGUAGAUAUCUGGAGGAACACCGGUGGCGAAGGCGGCAUCCUGGACCGAUACUGACGCUGAGGAGCGAAAGCCAGGGGAGCAAACGGG